UGUUUCUGAUAUUAAACUACUAAACACUUAAUUUAAUGAAAAUAUUCUCCAAAAUCUUGGCCUUUGUUACCACCACAUACCAAAGGAAGCCUGAGGGUAAAUUUUGUGAAGGAGAGCCAUACAUUAUUUGCUUAAGAGUUAGUUCAUACUCCUAAACGUCCAGUUCUUUGGGACAAAAAUAGUAAAUAUAGCCUUCAUAGGAGUGUUUUUAUACUGAUUCAGGAUAGUUUUAUCCUCAGACGUGCAACAUUCAUGACAUGUGCUUAAAAUAACCCCUCCUUACUGCCAAAAGAAAUAACAGUACCACCCACAUGCAACAUCAAAUCAUUGAAUAUGAUUACUCAUCGGUGGUUCUUUGAUAGAAAAUUGUCAUAAAGACACAAACAGACAGAAUGACGAUAAAGCAACAGAAAAUUAUUAGGGUCAAAGUUUCAAUAAUUACCGGAUAUAGGAUAAAUACUGAGCAGCCAAGGGUAACUAAAAAAGACAACAAAUAGUCAGGUCCCUGAUA
rnacentral:lncRNA from 1 species